ACGGUUGCCAGUUGCCACCCUGCCUGCGUCCCUGUCGCUGCCCAGGCCGGCAGGCCCCAGGCGCCCAGCUGCUGCCUGCUAGCCGCAGCCGCCAGGCGCCACUGCCGCACUGCGCCAGCCGCGGUCGCCUCGCCGGACACCGGCUCGCCCUCUGCCCCUCGCGCCGGACCUCGAACAGCCGAACAGGGAGCGGCCUGUCCAUCUGCUGUCUGCUGAAGCCUGAAGACUUGGAGUUGGAGAGAGUGAUAGGUAUAAGUUUCACUUUUGGAUAAACCGAAUGUCCGUUGUCCCUGGCAGCUUGGCAGCUUUUUGUACAUAUUUCACGGGCAUGUGAUCUGUGCCAUAGCGUCAAAUUAUCAGUAUGCUUAUGAGUGUAGAUAUAAUUUCUCACUCAAAUAAUGCCACUAUGUGUUUAUGUUGAUGCUAUAAACUUAAUAUAUAUUAAUGUUUGAAUUAAGUCAUUCA